rnacentral:rRNA from 1 species
UACGUAGGGUGCGAGCGUUGUUCGGAAUCACUGGGCGUAAAGGGUGCGUAGGCUGCACGGUAAGUCAGAGGUGAAAUCCCGGAGCUCAACUUCGGAAUUGCCUCCGAUACUGCCGUGCUUGAGGACUGGAGAGGAGAUUGGAAUUCACAGUGGAGCAGUGAAAUGCGUAGAUAUUGUGAGGAACACUAGUGGCGAAGGCGAAUCUCUGGACAGUUCCUGACGCUGAGGCACGAAGGCCAGGGGAGCAAACGGG